UACACCACCUGUGAAUCUGACAUAAGUAUCAAAAGGAAAAAAAAAAUAUUUAAGAAUCUCUUUUCGAGCAUGGAGAUUUGGUAUCGAAUGUUCGAUAUUUCAGUAUCGAUCCUAACAUCACAAGUGGCAAGUGCGUUUCUUAAGUUAUUUUGUACGGAGAUAUUUUGUUGUACAAGACCCAUACGCGGAAUCCGGAUGGAUUGACAAGGCAGCAAAAAUCUGAACUUCGCAGAAAAUCGACGAAGUAUCAGGCUGAAGGUGGGUAGGCUAAUUAUGGCCAACUGGCUAACGUGAACCUGUGUAGGUGCUUGUGAUAUAAUUUGUGCAUUCCGUAGUUUGUCAAAAUAACGUGAAAAUAAAAUGCUAUGCUUUCAGUCAAUCAAUACAUGGUUUACCAAUAAAAUGGCAUUUAAGAUGUCCAUAUUGGAGUGACUAAAUCGUGGUUUGGAUGAUGACACUUUAUUUAUUAUUUAUCUAUUCAGGGCAAAAGAUGAAUUAUUUUACACAUUUCAGAUGAAACUUUGCCAUCUUACAGUGUUACAACUAAGUUAUUACAAAUGUUCUGUGUGCAACACUUCCUGGCAGAUUACAAACUCCAAUAAAGUCCUGCAGGAGACCAGCCACUGGCAAUCUGGCAAUUGCUGCAAUGUUUAUUAAUCUAUAUAGCUAUAUAGUUUUUUAGGUCACACAGCCGUUUGAACUGAUGGGUAUGGACCUCAUUGGAAAACUAACCACCACAACAAACGGACACAUGUAUGUGUGCGUGAUGGUGGACUACUUCACCAAGUGGCCACAAGCCUAUCCCCUUAAGACCAAAAGGGCUGAGGAGGUCACAGAACAAAUAUUGAAAUUUGUUCAUCAAUUUGAAGCGCCGAAACGCAUUCUCACGGACCAAGGGAGUGAGUGUGUAAAUGCGGUAAGCACAGAACUUAUAUCUUAUUGGAAUCUAUUCUUCUUCUUUCUAUUUGUGCUUUUCCCUUCAGGGGUCACCACAGCAAAUCACCCGCCUCCAUCCAACCUUGUCUUCUGCAUCUGUCUCUCUCACACCAACUACCCUCAUGUCCUCCUUCACUACAUCCAUAAACCUCCUCUUAGGUUUUCCUCUACGCCUCCUACCUGGCAGCAUCCUUCUACCAAUAUAUUCACUAUCUCUCUUCUGGACAUGUCCCAACCAUCUCAGUCUGGCCGAUAACUGACUUUAUCUCCAAGGCCUCUAACAUGUAAUGUCCCUCUGAUCUUUAUCCAUCCUGGUCACUCCCAAUGAGAACCUCACCAUCCUCAUCGCUGCUACCUCCAAUUCUGCUUCCAGUCUCCAGACCAAACAGACCUUUCCUUUCCUUUUAGCUGAAACUCUUCUAUCACACAUUAUUACACCUUAUUGGAAUUUAUUACUAUGUGUUUAAAAUAAGGUUUCUUAAUAUGUUAUGCAAUUGUCUGAAAUUGUAUAUGUGUUACCAGGUCAAUAAGAAUGUCUGCAAUAUUUUGGGGAUCAAAAGAAGUUUGUGCCCCCUACCAUCCUCAAACCAAUGGUUUGGUGGAGCGCAUGAACGCAACCAUCCAGAGGGCUCUUGGUAAACUGGUAGGGUGCAAACCAGAAAUGUUGGACGAAUAUUUGGAUGCUGUCAUGUUUGGGUUGCGUACCAAAAAACAGAUGACAACCAAAUUCUCCCCCUAUUUUUUGAUGUUUGGCCGUGAAGCCCGGUACCCAACAGAAGUUCCAGAGGACUUUCUGAUGGACAGUAAUGUGGAGGAUUACAUUGGAGCAGAGACAGAGUUUCAGAAGUACAGAAAUAUCUAGAAGCAGUGUGGACUGGGAACCACUCUAGUGACCAUGUGCUGCUCUCAAAAAUAGAAAAGUAUAAACUAUUUUGUUGGGACAUUGCUCGGAUCGCUCCUGGCAAAGAGCUUGAGAGUGAGGUGAUAAAUGCAUAUCUAACAUUGCUUGUCCAACGAUACACCAAUGCCAACAGCGGUGGUCAAGCUGCUGUCAUUGACAGCUAUGAAAUGACACGUAUUUGGACUCACAACACCUCCAAGCUCAAAAUGGAUCCGAUGCAGUUCAAUAUUAUUGUGGGGAUUUUUAACCAACAUCAUCACUGGAUGUUAACGGUCAUUUAUCCUCAUGAAAAGAGGACCUUGUUUGUGGAUCCAUUUGGGGAAACUGACGAUAAAAUAAAAAGAUGCCUGGAAACAAGAAGGGCAUUCAUGCGGAAGAGGGACUGUAAGGUGUCAAGGUGGACAUGUGGUACCCUUCCUCAUGGACUUCCGGGUGAUGGCACAUCAUGUGGUGUGUUACUUGAAAUUUGCUCAGUGUAUUCUGGAAGACCAGCCCCUGACCUUAGAUACCAGCAAAGGGGCUGUCAACAACAUGCGAGAAGAGAUUGCCAAAACUCUUCUCCGUGAAACAGAAUCCCACAAGAACCUGUGCCACCAUUGUGGGUCUGAGGAAACGGAUGACAUGCUAUGGAUUGGUUGUGACAACUGCAGCAGGUGGUACCACCACAGUUGCUUAGGUCAGCCACCACUUGAUGCGGACUAUCUCUGUCCUCUCUGUCUGUAAGGCGGGCAGAAGACCAUUGAGUGUGUGUUUAUGUGUUUUGCUGAUGGAUCAUGUAUAUUUCUCUAC